GCAGCUCAGGGUUUGCCAGCAGCCGAACAGGGCAGCAGGGCAUCGCGGACCGUGACUGUCUGCAGCGUAUUCCCAGAAGGCCUGCGAGGGCUGAACCAUCGGGACACCACAGGAAGGAUGUAAUCACCACCAUUACGCUCCAGGCUCACAAAGGCAGCGGAAGACCAGGAUGACAUCCAGAGUUGAAAACGAACACGCACGAAAACCACACAACGGUGUGCACACCUGAGUCAAGAAUGCCUUUUGGCGGUUUGUGAACAAAUAAAAGCGUAUUGGACGGACGUAUGCAGAGCGAUGUCAGUGUGUCAUCACACGGUAUUGAUCUAGGAAACCUGAGGAGCUGAUUGAUGAUUUCCACUCUGCACUCUGUGAACAGUUAGCUUUCCUUUCACUGGGCUCUCUCUUCAGCUCUGCAUGAUGCUCCAUAUGGAUGGAAAGUCUUCAUAUUUUUCCAUUGUUUUUUUUAUAAAAAAUAUAAUCAUUCCAAAGCCCCUUCAAAUUGCACAUUUCUUUCCUUA